rnacentral:misc_RNA from 1 species
GAUGAAGAACGCAGCGAAAUGCGAUAAGUAAUGUGAAUUGCAGAAUUCAGUGAAUCAUCGAAUCUUUGAACGCACCUUGCGCCCUUUGGCCAUUCCGAAGGGCAUGCCUGUUUGAGUAUCAUGAACACCUCAACUCUUUAUGGUUUUCCAUGAUGAGCUUGGACUCUGGGGGUUUUGCUGGCUCACAGUCGGCUCCUCUAAAAUAAAUCAGCUUACCAGUGUUUGGUGGGUAUCAUGGGUGUGAUAACUAUCUACGCUUGUGGUUUUUCCACCAGGUAACCUUCAGCAGUGGAGGUUCGCUGGAGCUCAUAGACGUCUCUCCUCAGUGAGGACAGCUCUUUGAACGUUUGAUCUCAAAUCAGGUAGGACUACCCGCUGAACUUAAGCAUAUCAAUAACCGGAGGA